AGUAAAAACAAAGGAAGCCAGAUGACAUUAACACUAUGCUUUCUUUAAGCUAUACAGAAAAAUGUUAUCAUUUCAACAUGUAUCCAAUCCAAGUUACCUGGAGCUGUUUCAUAUUACUUUCAUAUGUAUCAAGUCUUCACACACUUACACAUGCAGCUCCUCUCAGUUCACACUAGAUACACCUUGGGGGUCGGUAGCCACAUGGAAGUAGCUGAGUGGCUACGAACUCUGGCCUGCCAGUCAUAACACAGUUAAUCCACAAACGGGGAAGCCAGGAAGCUUCUCCCCGAACAAAGGUCCUCUUUAGCCCGAGACACGGGGUUUUACACUGACUGGGUGGAGAACCCCUAAUGGCUCCUGACGGGCUUUCUUCUAAGCACAGCUGGCUGCCUCCGUGUGGGGUUUGUAGCCGUGCAUUCCACCAACCAGACUUAAGACAUCUGAGGAAAAAACUGCAACCGUCCUAUGCAUGUACGGACUCUUUUUUCUUGUCAGUAUCCCCUGAGCCAUGCCAGAGAGCCAUGGUUUAGGCAACAUGACACUCUAUUUAGAUGCUAUAAGGAAUCUGGAGAUGAUGUAAAGCAUAUUCAGGAAGAUGUGCACAGCAGCAUGCAACUACUAUGCCAUUUCUAUAAGACUCCUGCACGUCUUCGGAUCUUGGCAUCCGUGGGGGUCCAGGGACUGACCCCCAGGGGACGAGUGUGUCACAGCAGCUGAUUGUAGUGUGACAGAGCGUAUUAUGAUGCACACACAGCACAGGAGGAGCGCCAUUUGGUGACCCAGGCUAGCAGAGUCUGCUAGCUGACAAUGUAAAUUCACCCUGUUGCCAAUUUGAGGAACACUCUCUUUCAGCUGGAGCUCAUCAUGAAAAAUAAUUAAGUCUCUCGGCAUGGGAACAUAUCUUCAAGCAUAUGUUUUCCUUUUUAGUAAAACACAAGGGAAAGGCACACAGGCCAGCAACAUGUGCGUGAUGACGUCCUCCUGAACCAGCCCUCCCACCACAGCUCUGAGUCCUUCUGAGCAGCAGCCCAACCCAGGAAACAACAGAACCUGCUGUCCGAACCGAGAUAGAGGAAGAUGAGAAGGAGAAAUGCACUGUGCUAGAAGCAUAUUUAACAGUAGUAUCAUUUGGUCACAUGCAUAUAUCGGUAUGUCUCAGAAUCAAAACAACAUAAAUCACCAAGAUUCUCCACCCUCAGGCUCAAACAUAAACCAGAAUACUACGAUAAAUGACCUCAAUAUUCAUCUGGAAAAAACAGCACAUAAAAAUAGCCAGGGGCAUUUGACAAAGAAAGCUGAAGAAGCAGAGCUGAAAUUAUUGGAGAUUAAAAUCCUACAGUACACAUCACAGGCUGGGAUGAAUACAGAUCGAUAAGAGCAAAUCCUCAAGCUAAAUUUAUUAUAUCGUAAAGGUGAAAGAUAAAUAGGUAGAAAAGGAUAUGGCUAUUCAAUGCUACUGAUGUGUAACAAGUUAUUUAAAGGAGAAAAGAGAAUACAGACCCUCGUCCUGUGCAUGCAACAAAACAAGUUGCCAAGGGGUUAGAGAACAAACACAAAUGAACACUGAAAUUCACUCCCUUAUAAAAUUUUUAAAAUAUCAAGAGCGUUUGGUAAACUUGGCCGACAGAGUAUAUUUUGAACAUAAUGAAAGAAAUAAUAGAGAAAGUUUAGAAAAUAAAAUACAUGCAUAGGGCCAUAAGAUUAAGAGCAAUAAGCUAAAUAUGAGACAAAUCUCUUUGAAUGGACAGCGGCAGCACGUUGUAUGCAUGCACCAGCAACGGGCCAGGGGACACAGAGACAGCGGGAGGGAAAAGAAUGCAAGCCGCGACGUACAGAGGCACAGACAUAGCAACGAUGCGCAAAUCUGUAACUCCACUGAAAAGGGAAAAUUCACAUAAAACGGAUGUACGAAUUACUAAGCAAUCUGGCAAAGCUUUUUGUUGCUGUUUUUGAAUGGAAGACUCCUCAAUUUUGGUUUGCAAGACUCUAAGAAAAGCGAUUCCCAAAGACUGCUGAUGUGAAGUUAAACAGACGCGACCUUGCUCAAAAGUAGCGGAGCCCCUCUGGCAGAGGCCACAAACCAAGUGACUCCGGAAAAUACGGCACCAAAUUAUUAGGACAGCAAGAGAGCACCGUGCAGGAGUCUGUUGUGCUGAAGCGGGGUGAGCGGUGAGCGGGCACCGCGCCCUCCAGCCGAAGGGAAGCUAAGCUUCUCCAAAUUGUCUUCCAGGACCAGUCUUGAGUUUUGUUUUCAUUUUGCUUUUUCAGUUUAUCUCAGCACUGAAACUACUAGAAGAAAUAAAAUUAAAUUCCAUACAUGCACAUGCUAAAGGAUCAGAGUUAACAUGCAUGGUGUCCACUGCUACAAGGCUGCAUAAAUCCCUCUGCUUAAGUUUGGUCCUGAUCCUGACAUUCCUACGACAGAGGCCUCGGGCUGCACCCUGAGCAGCACUGCUCCAACUGCCCAGGGCCCAGCCAGCGCAUCGGCCUCACUUGCUUCCCGAACUUCGCUGGACUUGACUAGAAACACACUGAUCUAGAUUAUCAGUGUUGUGACUCCCAGGUGGCCCGCUGCUCGCCUGCUGAGGAAGGUUCUGAAGGACACUGGGUAUAAAAUUCCAUGGCUCCAUACCAGUUGUUUAAAAAAUGUUGUUUCCUCUCAUUUAAAAUAACUAAUGUGUGAUGUGCAUUGCAAAUCUGCUAACUUAAUCUCUAUUUCUUGAAAUUUCAUACUUUUUUAGUCAAUUCUCACCAAAUCAACCCAAUACUAAGCUGUAAUCCCAACUGAAAUACUCGAGGUUGUCUUUGUUUGUUCUUUCAAUGAAGCUGCAGAAUACUGAUUCUCAAAGCUCACAUGGAGGAGAAACGGGGGAGAACCCUGCUGCUAUCUGACAGAAGAACAAUAGGAGGAGGAGUGGCCUUAACCUGCUGGAUGCCAGUCAGUUUUAAGAAGCAAGAAAAAUUAAAAUGAUAUGAUUCGGAUAGUGACAGCAGCAGGGUAGUGUUGUAAACAAUAACACCAAUAAAUAUUUAAUUGAGCAUCUAUUAUAACCAAGGCAUGUGGCUAAUGCUUGGUACUCAUUUGCGUUACUCCCCACAGUCCUAUAAAGUGGACUUUAUGCACACUCUUGCAGUGAAACAUAAGUGACUUAGUGACCAGUCUGGAGAAAAAAACUAUCAGUGGGGUAGAAAAGUCAUCCAGAAACACACAACUGAAGAGCAGAGGUAGCACAGCGCAUACAAGUCAGGAGGAAGAGACUGAGUGUUUAAUACGUGGCUACAAGGAGACAGACAAUGAUAUUAUAAGAUACAGUUAGGGCCUUUCUAGCAAGAAACACAAAUAACGUUUCCGGUGGAUGGAGAAAGACAUAUAAAAAAACCACGAACAUUCCAAAAGUAUAGAAGAAUUUUAAAAAUAAUUGUAAAAUGAAGAUUUUUUUCCUUCUGUCAAGACCCAAAAUAGAAUUGAUUGCAAAAGAGUUUUGUAACAAGAAAAGAGUAUUCAAAAAUGUUGGGGGAAAUAUUCGCAAUGUACAAUGAAGACUUCACAAUAAUAUCCAAGAGAAUCACUGGGAAGAGGACAAGGAACUUAACAGAAAGCAGAGGAGGUCAGAAAAAAGAAAUCCCAAGGAGUUCACAAGAGAACACCAGCACAAGAUGUGCUAAAAUGAUUUCACUUAAUUAAAAACAAAAACAAAAGAAAAGUUAGUGCUUGUCAUCUGUCAGCUGUUAAAGAAGACAGCGCUGAUAAUAUCUGAGUCAGCCAGAUCCGGGGAGGCAGACACAGGGCAGCUGCUGCUGCAUGGGCCCCUCCACCUGCGUCCAUCCUCUUCCCCCGGGUUUGUCCAGGGCAGUCUUAGCUGUCCUUGGUCCUGGCGCCAAUGUCCCUUCCUCACAUCCAGGCCACUUUAAUUCCUCCGUGGCUUCCUUGCACCCCUGCAAGGCCUGCUGGGAGUGUGAAGCCAACCCAAGGCCAAGGAGAAGCAUGGCCCAGCCCAGCAGAGGAGGGGAGAAGGCACCAAGUCCAUGCCAUGGACGGCCAAGGCCAGCGGAAGUGACCUUCUGCCUGCACAGAGGACAGGUGCUGGGUCCGCCUAGGGAGCGGGCAAAGCGGGCCCAGGGAUCUGCUCUGGAGCCUCAGAAAGAGGGUGCCAGAACAGGAAAACUUGGGGUGAGAACGAAGUUAUUCACGGCUGCUCCUGAAUCUAAGGUCAAAUUAUCUCAAAAAAAAUAAAAAAGGAGAAGAAAAGGAAAAGGGGUACAAAACAAAAUUCACUCAGAGGAAAAUACGGAAAUAAAACCACUUCUUAAAAGCUGCUUGCAUUGA